rnacentral:misc_RNA from 1 species
CUACCAACUCAGUCCGUAACUGUGAUGACUGGGGGACUCUCGGUGUCCCUUUGCUCCGUGACUUUGGUGCUGCUCUCGUUUCUAGUGAGAAUUCGUGUGACAAUUAUGUCAUAGAUGAUUCAUGAUAAGAAAACCAUUAUCAUUUCUGACAUGGAGUAAAUCGAAAAUCAACUACUUCCAUAUAUAAAAGUUGAAGCUCCAAGGGAAACAUCUCGCAAGCUUUGAGAUUUUGGUGACGGGAUAUAUAACGUUCAUAAUACCCAGACGUGUUCACCAAGGAAAGGUAUCUAUGAUUGACGACACGAUCAGCCGCCCUGGCGGCAUUGGUACUGUUUCUUCCCAGUCUGCCACCGAUCAGCUUGUCGAACAUGAAGCAGAUCCGGCCGUGCAGGAUAUUUUGCCCGUCACUGAUACCUCCUCCCAGUACCAGACCGCUGCUGAUCCCAUGGAGCUGAAUGUCGAGCCUCUCCAAAAUGUCCUUAGCACUGAGGAUCUAUCUUGGCUGGAAGCUAUUGAACACAACUCACUGAAGGAAGAAAUAGACAUGGUCUUGCCAGAACACAGUGACCAACAAGAAAAUAUGUGUUCACGCGAAUUGGACGAAAAAAUAUUGUCCAAAUUCACGGAGCUGUCGCCUGGUGAUCUUGAAAUCUUUGAGCUGCCACCUUCCCAGCGAGAGGAACUCAAGACGCCCAUUCAGAAAAUUAUUUGAUUCCGGCACAUUUAUGUUUUCAGAAUACUGUCCUGGCGAGAUAAUGGGAGAAGCCAAAGUUAAGCAUUUACAACGUAUUUUAUGUCUGAAAAUCGUAAAGAAAAACGAAGAUCGCAAAUCAGGCUCUGAUGACAGCUCGAAGUGAAUUGAUAAUAGCUUGAGCCUCGAAGCGGAGAGAAAAAGGGAGGGGGAUACCUCUACGCAAGGUCAGCAGUGUGGAUACGAAGGGGAACAACCGUACUGUCGUAUCAGAGCCAUUCGUAUAGCUGACUCAGAGCAGCCUGACUGAAAAGCCCCUGAUAUCAUCGUUGUCAUCGUCUGCGUCAGUGUCGUUGUUAUCAUUAUCGUGGUCGUUAUUCUCGUCAUCUUAGAGUAUCUUCAUUAGUUACUGUUGUUUUUGCUAUUAUUAUUAUUAUUAUUAUUAUUAUUAUUAUUAUUGUUAUUAUUAUUAAUAUCAUUAUUAUUAUUACUAUUAUUAU